rnacentral:lncRNA from 1 species
CUAUUCUGUGGUUCAUAGGAAUGAUCAUUUUCUUUUUUCAUUACCACAUAAUGAAGCCUUACUCUGGGCCAGGCACUAUGCUAGGCACAGUAAGUGCAUUUAAUGUUUAUGGUAGCCCUAUAAGGAAGUGUUGCUAUCUUGUUUAACAGAUGAGCAAACUAAGGCUUACACAGGUUAAAUAUUUUCCUAAUGUCCUAUAAUUAGCAAGUGUUGAACGUAGGUACCAAAUCCAAGUCAAAUUGUUUAUUCACUCAUCUACCCAUCCAUUCAUUCAGCAGCUGUGUACUGAGCACCUACUAUGUGUUAUAACAAGUCACUGUUUGAGGUGGUAGAGUUACAGCAGUGAACCAGACAGGCAUGGCCCUGCCCUCACGAAGCUUAAACUCUGGCUUCCUAGCUGGUAGUGGGGCAGACGACGAACAAGCCAUAACUAAGGAAAUUUCAGACAGUAGUAAGUAAUAUGAAGAAAAUAAGAUAAGGUAAUGUGACAGAGAUGUGAGAAGACUAAAGCAGAAAUGAAUUUUAAUAAGUGAAUCCAGAAUUCUAUUUCAGGAACAUUACUUUGAGAUGCCUCCUUGAUACGUAAGAUAAGAUGCUUCUAUUGCUACAACUGCUUUGUAGGAUGGCCAUGUUUGGCCAUGAAGUCUGACAGAUGAGCACAAAUGUUUUGCAAAUAUCACCGAAACCACAGAGACUAGAAGAAAGUGGAACAACAUCUUUAAAGUGAUGACAGAAAAGAACUAUGGACCCAGAAUUUGACAUCCGACAAAAAUAGCCUUCAGCAAUGAAAACAAAAUGAAAGCCUUCUCAGAUGAAGUAAAACUGACAAUUUGUCACCAGUAGACCUACUCUAAAAUAAAUGCUAAGGUCCUGGGGAAAAAAUAAAGAGAAAUAGUCGUAGUUCCUAACUUGAAGGAGCUUGCAUACUAAUUACAAAGGUGAGUGGGUAUAGAAAACAAAUAAGUACAACGAUCUGG